AAAAGUUUGCUAAGAGAGAAUAUAAACAAAAGAACAGUGGGGGAAAUGGCACAGGGACCACGUAAACUUAAUUAUUUUUUAGCUAUUCAAAUAACAGAUAAAGAGAUCAAACAGAAUAUCAGGGCGAUUCAGGAGACAAUACAAGCAAGGGAUGGAAGUCUUUCCUCCAGAAUGGAAUCAAUAGAAACGCUUCACCUGACGCUUGGUCUUUACUAUUUUGAUGACGCGCGGAUUGUUUCAAAGUGUAAGGCUGCCCUGGACAGAUUCCAAACACGGUUGAGGUCAGAAAACUUUGUUCCCCCACGUCUUACUGUUUCAAAGUUAGGACAUUUUAAUGAUAAAGUCUUGUUUGCGGCACUGGACGACAACGAGGGGCUAGAGGACCUCAAAAUUCUUACGGAUAACGUAAGAGGGUCGCUCUCUAGGGACGGCAUUCGGACCACAGAUGACAGAUUUUCACCACAUGUCACCAUUUGCAAGAUUCCCAAACGCAACUCGCAGACAAUUGAUCCCUCAUGCUAUGAUGGGAUGCAAUCCACAUACUUUGGACGACAAACGAUAGAAAGUAUUCAGCUGUGUUCAAUGCAGAAACCUAAAACUGAAUCGGGGUACUAUCAUAUUGAUCACGAAAUCAGAUUCUAUUAGAGGAGAAAAACAGGAUACAUGUCUACAUUCAGUGUAUAUUUCUCUUCAGUAUGGAUUGGAAAUAUGUUACGUUUAUAUUUUACACGUUAUUUCGCAUUUGAAAAUAUUUUAAAAUUAUUUCUUGGUUUAAUAAGCCUUUAAUAUUUUUAGCAUCGUUUAUAUGUUUAAUGUAGAAUACUAAUGACUAUACAUUUUUCGUUUAUAAUUUUAUGUGUUGAUAAAAUGACGUCACAAUGUACUGGCGAGAAAUGGUACUCGGCGAGAACUGGUCGCACGCCAGAAAUAAUAUUGAAGCAAGCGUCAAAUGGGCCGCAAAAAUGUAAUCGUUGUGUAAAUCACAAUUGGUUGUUAACAUAACAAAAACACCACAAAGAAGAAAAUAACGAGUUGGUUGUUCUAAUUUUUAUGGUUAAUUUUAAUAUAUUUUCAGCCACAUGUUUUGAAGUUUAACAUUUUACUAUUAUUAAUGAUUAAGAAUCGAGUUCGUUACUGAAAGCAUUUCUUACGGUAAUUGUAUGAUCAUUGCCAUAGUAUGAAGUAUCAACUCAUCUUUAUUUUCUUGAAGAUUAUGUAUUUCAAACUAAUUUGAUAUUUUGAUGUUGAAUUGUAUUGAAUUAAAACUUAAUGCAU
rnacentral:misc_RNA from 1 species